GAGAAGAACAUUGCUCGCGUGACAUUUGCGUUACGUUUAAAAGUUUAUUUAGUUUAAUAUUUCACUUUUUCUUUUCACUUAUUGAUCACCUUGAUUGACACUGAAAUAUGAGUAAGUUGAUGGUUUUUAGUUAGUUUUUACACGUGUCGUGUCGGAGGCAUGAAUCAGGAUAGCUUUCCCGUUUUUGAUGAUUAUACAGUUUAGUUUAACUCUGGAAUCCCGUCACGAAGAUUUCUGGCGGCGGAGGAGUUGUUUUUUUACUUAUAUUCUACGCAGUUGCUUGGAUUCCGCCGUAGUUUCGAGAAAUGAGUGCUGUCACGCGAUAACAUUUCCAAGAUUCAACUCACCUCAGCAGAUGGAUGGUAUUUGAGCGCCUGGCAAGGUUUAAAGUGACAUUUACCACGCUAUCCAUGGACGUAUUGGCAACAGAGACGUGUUUCGCCGAAGUAGCAACAUAACGGUAAACACUGCAACUUUGAACGCUUCGUACAAGGUCGAUAAACUUUGGCCGAAAACUGUUUUUACAGAAACGUAAUGUAUAUCCUUCUCCUGUCUGAUUCAUCACUGUGAUUGCUUUCAAUAGCGUUGGAUUUUGCAGAAAUAAUUAUUUUAAAAUCAUCUCAACGCUCCAUCUAAUUUGAUAUGUAAUAUUUGAACAUUUAUUUUUCAUUCGCUUCU